rnacentral:rRNA from 1 species
CAAACGGGUGAGUAACACGUAAACAACCUGCCUUCAGGAUGGGGACAACAGUUGGAAACGACUGCUAAUACCGCAUAAGCUCACGGUGCCGCAUGGCACAGAGGGAAAAGGAGCAAUCCGCUUUGAGAUGGCCUCGCGUCCGAUUAGCUAGUUGGUGAGGUAACGGCCCACCAAGGCAACGAUCGGUAGCCGGACUGAGAGGUUGAACGGCCACAUUGGGACUGAGACACGGCCCAGACUCCUACGGGAGGCAGCAUG